AUUGAACGCUGGCGGCAUGCCUAACACAUGCAAGUCGAACGGUAACAGGCCUUCGGGCGCUGACGAGUGGCGGACGGGUGAGUAACGCGUGGGAAUCUGCCUAGUAUGGGGGACAACCUGGGGAAACUCAGGCUAAUACCGCAUACGCCCUACGGGGGAAAGCAGGGGAUCUUCGGACCUUGCGCUAUUAGAUGAGCCUGCGUCGGAUUAGCUUGUUGGUGGGGUAAAGGCCUACCAAGGCGACGAUCCGUAGCUGGUUUGAGAGGACGAUCAGCCACACUGGGACUGAGACACGGCCCAGACUCCUACGGGAGGCAGCAGUGGGGAAUAUUGGACAAUGGGGUCAACCCUGAUCCAGCAAUGCCGCGUGUGUGAAGAAGGCCUGCGGGUUGUAAAGCACUUUCGGAUGGGAAGAAAAGCUCAAGGCUAAUAUCCUUGAGUCUUGACGUUACUAUCAGAAGAAGCACCGGCUAACUCUGUG
rnacentral:rRNA from 1 species